AUGCUCGCUUUGGCAGCACAUAUACUAAAAUUGAAACGAUACAGAGAUUAGCAUGGUCCCUACACAAGGAUGACAUGCAAGUUUGUGACACGUUCCAUAUUUAA